CUUAUUGAUAAACACGGAUGGACAUCUCGCGAGAGGGGCAACGAGAAACCGGUGACCAAGAAACUGACCAACUGUGUAUAACAUUCCAUUCACGUGAAUACUGCAUAUAAAAGCGGGAGAUCACGAGGAUCCCUUCCUUUUUCCCUUCUGCUUAUGGUGACAUUAGGAGAGGACCUUGCUAGUCGUCCCUGCGAACUGAGGCCUAGUGAGAGACUGAAUCCAGCUCCGAUUGGCUGCAGAGUCCAGUCCAGGACUUCAGGUGCCGGCUCUGCAGUUGCUGAGACUUUCAAGGAUCCAUGUUCUUCACGAUGCAGCAUGUCUUCUCCCGUGCGUUACAGGAGUUUAUCAGCACGGGUUGGCACAGGAAUGCUGACCGGUGACAUGGGAAACCCCACGCUGCAGUAAAAACUGACUUUGAUGUACUCUUCCCAUUUCUUCUUCCUGUUGUGAGGAAAACCGUCCAGAUGGGUAGAACUUGCCCUGGAAAGCCACACACUGGAGCAAUUCUGUAACUGAAUUCUUAUUGAUCAACGUAUCCUAGCGAUGUACAAAGAGGGGCAAGACCACACAGCAAGACAAAAUGAGCCACCCCAAUCCUAAUACUCUCGAACUGCUUUUAAUACCUUUGAGAAAUCGCUUUGUUGGCAGACAUUAUGCUGCUUUGUUGUGUAAUUUAUGUGUACGUUUUGAAUGUAAAGGGAGAAGGACAAGGUCACUUAUUACACCGCUGAAAAGGCUGAGUGUAUAUGCUGGGGAUAAGUAAUCUUCUUUAAGUUUUGAGCAUAACCAUAGCACCUUUUAAUAAAUUUACUCUCUUUCUUUGUUUCCCUCGCAAAUGAGACUUGCAUCCAUGUAACUGCAUGCACAACCACCAGCCUUGUUUUUUUUUAUGUCAUUAUCAAUGUUAGAGAUUCUUUUUAUAAUACGUCAGAGACUUUCUAUUCAGUUACAAUCAUAAAGGCUGGUGUUAUUUUCUUUUUGCUUCUGGGUCUCCAUCAACUGAGUGUUGGUUUGUUUUGAAGUCAGUCGUGGACUUUGAGCUGUCUCCUGCUUCACCUUCAAGAUCGUCUGUCUUCUCAGCUCGGGCUGCCACGGUUUAGCAUAUCGCUGAGCAAGUAAUAUUGUCUGGAAUUUGGAUGAUGGAGAUGCAGUAAGAAAAAUAGUUGCAUUUGAGGAAAAAUGGAUUGAAUUAUGGAUUAUUGCUUAUCUGUGAAGUUAAAAACCCUGGAUUUGAAUCUCGCUCUGGAGAGCAAAAUAAGGGUCUGACAAAAUGAAAGCUUAUAUCUUAAUUUUUUUAUAGCAUAACUCAGUCUUCUAUUUACUGUACAGAAUUAUAAUAUUCUUAUGCUAAUAUGUUUAGAUUCCUGUGAUAACACUUGACAAAAUUAAAUUUAGAAUGUGUUUUGUUCAGAA